GCUAGUGUAGUGCAGUGGUCUGAGUGUUGGACUGGGACACUGGGAGACCAGGGUUCAAAUCCCUGCUCUACCU
rnacentral:tRNA from 1 species